rnacentral:rRNA from 1 species
GAUGAACGCUGGCGGCGUGCCUAAUACAUGCAAGUCGAGCGAACAGACGAGGAGCUUGCUCCUCUGACGUUAGCGGCGGACGGGUGAGUAACACGUGGAUAACCUACCUAUAAGACUGGGAUAACUUCGGGAAACCGGAGCUAAUACCGGAUAAUAUAUUGAACCGCAUGGUUCAAUAGUGAAAGACGGUUUUGCUGUCACUUAUAGAUGGAUCCGCGCCGCAUUAGCUAGUUGGUAAGGUAACGGCUUACCAAGGCAACGAUGCGUAGCCGACCUGAGAGGGUGAUCGGCCACACUGGAACUGAGACACGCUCCAGACUCCUACGGGAGGCAGCAGUAGGGAAUCUUCCGCAAUGGGCGAAAGCUUGACGGAGCAACGCCGCGUGAGUGAUGAAGGUCUUCGGAUCGUAAAACUCUGUUAUUAGGGAAGAACAAAUGUGUAAGUAACUAUGCACGUCUUGACGGUACCUAAUCAGAAAGCCACGGCUAACUACGUG